GGGACCCCGCCCAGGCAGCUAGCCGGGUCCCCGGGGCUGGGCGCUGCUGGCGGAGCCGACGGGGCGGAGAGGAGGGCGGCGGGAGGAGGAGAAGGGGGCUGGUCAAGGGAAGUGCGACGUGUCUGCGGAGCCUUUUUAUACCUCCUUCCCGGGAGUCGAGCAGCCGCCGCCACCAUCACCGCCGCCAUCCGUGCGACCUUCGGUCUCUGGUCCCAGAACCCGUGCUCCGCCACAGCCAGCCAGAAUGUCUGGGGUCAAGAAACAGAGGACGGUAGGCUUCCAGUCUCCUGCCUCCCCGCCCCCUCCUACCGUGCUGCACCCACC
rnacentral:lncRNA from 1 species